rnacentral:rRNA from 1 species
GACGAACGCUGGCGGCGUGCUUAACACAUGCAAGUCGAACGAUGAAGCGGUGCUUGCACCGUGGAUUAGUGGCGAACGGGUGAGUAAUACGUGAGUGACCUACCUUUGACUCUGGGAUAAGCCUGGGAAACUGGGUCUAAUACCGGAUACGACCAAUCUCUGCAUGGGGUGUUGGUGGAAAGCGUUAUGGAGUGGUUUUAGAUGGGCUCACGGCCUAUCAGCUUGUUGGUGAGGUAAUGGCUUACCAAGGCGACGACGGGUAGCCGGCCUGAGAGGGUGACCGGCCACACUGGGACUGAGACACGGCCCAGACUCCUACGGGAGGCAGCAGUGGGGAAUAUUGCACAAUGGGCGCAAGCCUGAUGCAGCGACGCCGCGUGAGGGAUGACGGCCUUCGGGUUGUAAACCUCUGUUAGCAUCGAAGAAGCGAA